CAGUAGCCGCGGUAAUACGAAGGGGGCUAGCGUUGCUCGGAAUGACUGGGCGUAAAGGGCGCGUAGGCGGUUCGUACAGUUGGAUGUGAAAUUCCUGGGCUUAACCUGGGGGCUGCAUUCAAUACGUGCGGGCUUGAGUGUGGAGGAGGGUUGUGGAAUUCCCAGUGUAGAGGUGAAAUUCGUAGAUAUUGGGAAGAACACCGGUGGCGAAGGCGGCAACCUGGUCCAUAACUGACGCUGAGGCGCGAAAGCGUGGGGAGCAAACAGGAUUAGAUACCCGGGUAGUCCCUUGUCUCUUAUA
rnacentral:rRNA from 1 species